rnacentral:rRNA from 1 species
GUUUGAUUCUGGCUCAAGAUUGAACGCUGGCGGGAUGCUUUACACAUGCAAGUCGAACGGCAGCACGGACUUCAGUGGUGGCGAGGUGGCGAAGAUGGUGAGUAAUGUAUCCGGAACGUGCCUAGUAGCGGGGGAUAACUACGCGAAAGCGUAGCUAAUACCGCAUGCACGCCCUUCGGGGGAAAGCGGGGGACCUUCGGGCCUCGCACACUAUUAGAGCGGCCGAUAUCGGAUUAGCUAGUUGGUGGGGUAACGGCUCACCAAGGCGACGAUCCGUAGCUGGUUUGAGAGGACGACCAGCCACACUGGGACUGAGACACGGCCCAGACUCCUGCGGGAGGCAGCAGUGGGGAAUUUUGGACAAUGGGGAAACCCUGAUCCAGCCAUCCCGCGUGUGCGAUGAAGGCCUUCAGGUUGUAAAGCACUUUUGGCAGGAAAGAAACGGCACGGGAUAAUACCCCGUGCAACUGACAGUACCUGCAGAAUAAGCACCGGCUAACUACGUGCCAGCAGCCGCGGUAAUACGUAGGGUGCAAGCGUUAAUCGGAAUUACUGGGCGUAAAGCGUGCGCAGGCGGUUCGGAAAGAAAGAUGUGAAAUCCCAGAGCUUAACUUUGGAACUGCAUUUUUAACUACCGAGCUAGAGUGUCAAGAGGAGGUGGAAUUCCGCGUGUAGCAGUGAAAUGCGUAGAUAUGCGGAGGAACACCGAUGGCGAAAGGCGGCCUCCUAGGAUAACACUGACGCUCAUGCACGAAAGCGUGGGGAGCAAACGGAUUAGAUACCCUGGUAGUCCACGCCCUAAACGAUAUCAACUAGCUGUUGGGGCCUUCGGGCCUUGGUAGCGCAGCUAACGCGUGAAGUUGACCGCCUGGGGAGUACGGUCGCAAGAUUAAAACUCAAAGGAAUUGACGAGGACCCGCACAAGCGGUGGAUGAUGUGGAUUAAGAAGUCGAUGCAACGCGAAAAACCUUACCUACCCUUGACAUGUCUGGAAUCCGAGGAGUUGGGAGUCUCGCAAGAGAACCGGAACACAGGUGCUGCAUGGCUGUCGUCAGCUCGUGUCGUGAGAUGUUGGGUUAAGUCCCGCAACGAAGCGCAACCCUUGUCAUUAGUUGCUACGAAAGGGGGCACUCUAAUGAGACUGCCGGUGACAAACCGGAGGAAGGUGGGGAUGACGUCAAGUCCUCAUGGCCCUUAUGGGUAGGGCUUCACACGUCAUACAAUGGUCGGGACAGAGGGUCGCCAACCCGCGAGAGGCCAAUCCCGAAACCCGAUCGUAGUCCGGAUCUGAUCUGCAACUCGACUGCGUGAAGUCGGAAUCGCUAGUAAUCGCGGAUCAGCAUGUCGCGGUGAAUACGUUCCCGGGUCUUGUACACACCGCCCGUCACACCAUGGGAAUAGGUUUUUACCAAGUAGUUAGCCUAACCGUAAGGAGGGCAGUUACCACGGUAGGAUUCAUGACUGGGGUGAAGUCGUAACAAGGUAG